CCUACGGGCGGCAGCAGUGGGGAAUAUUGGACAAUGGGCGAAACCCUGAACCAGCGACGCCGCGUGAGUGAAGACGUAUUUCGGUACGUAAAGCUCUAUUAGUAGGAAAGUAAAUGACGGUACCUGACUAGGAAUCUCUGGCUAACUACGUUCCAGCAGCCGGGGUCCUACGUAGGGGGCAAGCGUGAUCCGGAGUUAAUGGGUGUAAAGGGAGCGUAGACGGCUGGGAAAGGCUGGAGUGAAAUGCCGGGGCCCAACCCCGGAAGUGCCGUGGAAACUGUGAAGCUGGAGUGCGCGAAGGGUAAGCGGAAUUCGUGGUGUAGCGGUGAAAUGCUUAGAUAUCAGGAGGAACACCGGCGGCGAAGGCAGCUUACUGGACUAUAACUGACGUUGAGGCUCGAAGGCGUGGGGAGCAAACAGGAUUAGAUACCCGAGUAGUC
rnacentral:rRNA from 1 species